UGCAUCGGCCGGGGAUCGAACCCGGGCCGCCCGCAUGGCAGGCGAGCAUUCUACCACUGAACCACCGAUGC
rnacentral:tRNA from 1 species